rnacentral:rRNA from 1 species
CCUACGGGCGGCAGCAGUGGGGAAUAUUGGGCAAUGGGCGCAAGCCUGACCCAGCAACGCCGCGUGAAGGAAGAAGGCUUUCGGGUUGUAAACUUCUUUUGUCAGGGAAGAGUAGAAGACGGUACCUGACGAAUAAGCCACGGCUAACUACGUGCCAGCAGCCGCGGGAAUACGUAGGUGGCAAGCGUUGUCCGGAUUUACUGGGUGUAAAGGGCGUGUAGCCGGGUUGACAAGUCAGAUGUGAAAUCCUGCGGCUUAACCGCAGAACUGCAUUUGAAACUGUUGAUUUUGAGGACGGGAGAGGCAGACGGAAUUCCGAGGGUAGCGGUGAAAGGCGGAGAAAUUAGGAGGAACACCAGUGGCGAAGGGGGUCUGGUGGACAGCAACUGACGGUGAGGCGCGAAAGCGUGGGGAGCAAACAGGAAUAGAUACCCUAGUAGUC